GAAAUGUCGCAGAUAUUCUGUUCGUUUCGUGUAUUCCGAUUCAAUUUCAAAUUUGGAAAUGCUAUGCAAUUUUUUUCUGUUCAAGUUUUUUUGAUCUCCCAAGGAAUGCAAGAAAUAGGUCUUUAAUUAUCAAUUGAAACAAUCAAGAGACAUCAAGAUUAAUUUAAUCUUCUGUGGAUUUGCUAAAAUAUUGGACAAAGAAAAGAAAAAAUGGCAUCUUCGAACUUCUAAAUUACCGGCCAUCUUGACGUUCUCUUGCAUGCGUAUUUGGCAAGUGGUAUCAUUUUGACUCGUCAUUUUGUCGACUCAUCAUUUCAUCCAUUCAUCUCUUCAUCAAUUUACCAUUCAGCGAGAGUGAAGAACAUUCAGCUGGGCUGAAGAAACUUUUGCUGGUCAUACCGGACAGGAGUGCAGGUCUGAAACUCCUCUCAAUGAAGGACCUUUUACAAGUGACUGAAUUGAUAGUGUAUUAAUCAAGGACACCUGUUGACAUUUGAAAGGACAAUCUGCUGAAUUUGUUACUGAUCCAUGAACAAUGGACAUUUUUUUUUUCUCAGAAGACUUAAACACACUUUCUUCUCCACUUUCUUGGACUUUUUCCUUUGCUUGUUCUUCGGAAUGAGACUAUGUUGAAAUAUCUUUUGUGUUGGAUUUCUUCAUUCUUUAAAUCAUUAGGACUUAUCACAGAUAUAGACAUUGGACUUUCACAAUAUGCAAGAAUAUCUUUUUGUAAAAACAUGCAAGAGCUUCCACAUUAUUUUGUAAUUUAAAUUUAACUAUUAUCUAUUUUUAGUAAGUGACGAAAGAAAAAAAAAAUAUAACUUCAUCUUUCUCCUACAAAAGAAAAGGGGAUAUAGACAGCCGC